CCGUUUUCCCAGCGGAGUAAUAGAAUGAAGCUCGCCGGAUUGAGUGUUUAGCUGUUAACUAAAAUAUUACGGGAUCAAGGCCCGUCUUUCUAG
rnacentral:tRNA from 1 species